UACGUAGGGACCGAGCGUUGUCCGGAUUCAUUGGGCGUAAAGAGCUCGUAGGCGGCUGUUCAAGUCGAACGUGAAAACUCGGAGCUCAACUCCGAGCCUGCGUUCGAGACUGGAUGGCUAGAGUCUGGUAGGGGGGAUCUGGGAAUUCCUGGUGUAGCGGUGGAAUGCGCAGAUAUCAGGAGGAACACCGGUGGCGAAGGCGGGUCUCUGGGCCGAUACUGACGCUGAGGAGCGAAAGCGUGGGGAGCGAACAGG
rnacentral:rRNA from 1 species